UACGAAGGGGGCUAGCGUUGCUCGGAAUCACUGGGCGUAAAGGGUGCGUAGGUGGUGAGUUAAGUCUGAUGUGGAAUCCCCGGGCUCAACCUGGGAAUGGCAUUGGAUACUGGGCGACUAGAGGACCGGAGAGGAUAGUGGAAUUCCCAGUGUAGUGGUGAAAUACGUAGAGAUUGGGAAGAACACCAGUGGCGAAGGCGGCUAUCUGGACGGUUUCUGACACUAAGACUCGAAAGCGUGGGGAGCAAACAGG
rnacentral:rRNA from 1 species